rnacentral:rRNA from 1 species
CAGGAUUAGACGUACCCUGGUAGUCCACGCUGUAAACGAUGUCGACUUGGAGGUUGUGCCCUUGAGGCGUGGCUUCCGGAGCUAACGCGUUAAGUCGACCGCCUGGGGAGUACGGCCGCAAGGUUAAAACUCAAAUGAAUUGACGGGGGCCCGCACAAGCGGUGGAGCAUGUGGUUUAAUUCGAUGCAACGCGAAGAACCU